rnacentral:lncRNA from 1 species
UCGCUGACCGAGGGCCAAUUUUUUUUUUCUCUUUCCAUAUGCUUUUAUUUGCUGGGAUCCUUUUAUUUGGCAUCUCCGUCGUCCCUCGUAAGGUUCUAUUGCAUCACACAUGUCUUUUAUUGCGCACCAAGAUACAUUUGGUCUCUCAACUACGUGUUUGAAUUCAUGAAAAGCUCGAAGCUAGCCCAUUUCCGAACACACCUUAGAAUAAUUUUUCCAACUCCUGGACCUCGUUAGUUUCUAGUCGAUGGGGUCAGUUAUAGUUAAUCUAAACCUAAUUGUUAGAUUCGUAACAUGAACUCUCCAUCUCGUUUGCCGUAAUAAAAUCGUGUG